rnacentral:rRNA from 1 species
AGAGACAGCAGUAGCCACGGUAAAACGAGGGGUGCAAGCGUUAUUCGGAUUGAUUGGGUGUAAAGGGUGUGCAGACGGCUUAUUAAGUCACUUGUUAAAUUCUUCGGCCUAACUGAAGGUCUGCAAGUGAUACUGAUGAGCUAGAGGGUGGAAGAGAGAAGUGGAAUUCUCGGAGUAGCGGUAAAAUGCGUAGAUCACGAGAGGAACACCAAUGGCGAAGGCAGCUUCUUGGUCCAUUCCUGACGUUCAUACACGAAAGCGUGGGGAGCAAACAGGAUUAGAUACCCCGGUAGUCCCUGUCUCUUAUAC